rnacentral:rRNA from 1 species
ACGAGAUAUACUCUGGAUAGUGGACGUACUCGCAGAAUAAGCACGCCUACUCUGUGCCAGCAGCGCGGUAAUACAGAGGUGCAAGCGUAAUCGGAUUUACUGGGCGUAAAGCGCGCGUAGGUGGCCAAUUAAGUCAAAUGUGAAAUCCCCGAGCUUAACUUGGGAAUUGCAUUCGAUACUGGUUGGCUAGAGUAUGGGAGAGGAUGGUAGAAUUUCCAGGUGUAGCGGUGAAAUGCGUAGAGAUCUGGAGGAAUACCGAUGGCGAAGGCAGCCAUCUGGCCUAAUACUGACACUGAGGUGCGAAAGCAUGGGGAGCGAACAGGAUUAGAUACCCUGGUAGUCCAUGCCGUAAACGAUGUCUACUAGCCGUUGGGGCCUUUGAGGCUUUAGUGGCGCAGCUAACGCGAUAAGUAGACCGCCUGGGGAGUACGGCCGCAAGGUUAAAACUCAAAUGAAUUGACGGGGGCCCGCACAAGCGGUGGAGCAUGUGGUUUAAUUCGAUGCAACGCGAAGAACCUUACCUGGUCUUGACAUAUCUAGAAUCCUGCAGAGAUGCGGGAGUGCCUUCGGGAAUUAGAAUACAGGUGCUGCAUGGCUGUCGUCAGCUCGUGUCGUGAGAUGUUGGGUUAAGUCCCGCAACGAGCGCAACCCUUGUCCUUAGUUACCAGCGGGUUAAGCCGGGAACUCUAAGGAUACUGCCAGUGACAAACUGGAGGAAGGCGGGGACGACGUCAAGUCAUCAUGGCCCUUACGACCAGGGCUACACACGUGCUACAAUGGUAGGUACAGAGGGCAGCUACACAGCGAUGUGAUGCGAAUCUCAAAAAGCCUAUCGUAGUCCAGAUUGGAGUCUGCAACUCGACUCCAUGAAGUAGGAAUCGCUAGUAAUCGCGGAUCAGAAUGCCGCGGUGAAUACGUUCCCGGGCCUUGUACACACCGCCCGUCACACCAUGGGAGUUGAUUGCACCAGAAGUGGGUAGCCUAACCUUUUAGGAUGGCGCUCACCACGGUGUGGUUGAUGACUGGGGUGAAGUCGUAACAAGGUAACC